CCCCGUGUGGCUCAGUUGGUAGAGCAUGGUGUUUGCAACGCCAGGGUUGUGGGUUUGAUUCCCACGGGGG
rfam:Salmo salar isolate Sally breed double haploid chromosome ssa15, whole genome shotgun sequence.